GCCUGCGAUAUAUCCAGUGUUUAUUUUCUUCAGUAAAGUUGUGAACUUAAACCAAACCUCUGCAUUGGCAAAAUAAGCACAUUUAUGCACCGUUUCUUCAUUGGUGGCUGGGCACCGCGGCUGCAUCCUCUUCUUCGUGGCAUGGCACAGUAAUUGCAGGUUCAUCAGUCAGGUGGUCAGCACCCAAACUAAAACCAUGCGUCAUGGUGGCCAGGAAUUGCAUCCCAGCAGCACAGAUGGGGGAGCCAACAUGAAGAGGUGUCCAGAGAGGCUUCUUCCUCUUUGGCUUUGCAGCAGCACCAGGACCUCACCAUCAGUGAUGCUGUUCAUCCAUCGGGCCUACCCUUACAUUCCUCCCCUGAUGCACUGAUCACCUGUACCAGUUGUUGGAGUUUUCAGAAGGGCUCUAAAUUAACUUUUUUUUAUUCACUAGUAGCCAAAAUGGCUAGUAUGUUAAUCUCCAAACAUACCGGUACAUUAAAUAAUGGGUCAAAGUGCCAAGUAUGUUUUCUUUUCUACCAGCAAAACUUAAUUUUCCCCAGCAUUUGGCUGGUGAGCCCUGGUUGUCAUUGAUGGUGAGUAGCUGUGAUAAUAAAUAACUGAAAUGAUGAAGUCCAUCCA